UACGUAGGGUGCGAGCGUUAAUCGGAAUUACUGGGCGUAAAGCGUGCGCAGGCGGUUUUGUAAGCCAGAUGUGAAAUCCCCGGGCUUAACCUGGGAAUGGCACUUGAAACUACGGGACUGGAGUAUGGCAGAGGGAGGUGGAAUUCCACGUGUAGCGGUGAAAUGCGUAGAGAUGUGGAGGAACACCGAUGGCGAAGGCAGCCUCCUGGGCCAAUACUGACGCUCAUGCACGAAAGCGUGGGGAGCAAAAGGG
rnacentral:rRNA from 1 species